AGCUUUGCGCAGUGACAAUAUCGUAGCCAAUGAGGUUUAUCCGAGGCACAAUUAUUACUAAUUGAAAUUACGAUUUUCCUACUUUGAUUGUUUAGUACUGGUAGAUCCUUCAUUACUGAA
ensembl:snRNA U4 U4 spliceosomal RNA